rnacentral:misc_RNA from 1 species
GAUGAAGAACGUAGCGAAAUGCGAUACUUGGUGUGAAUUGCAGAAUCCCGUGAACCAUCGAGUCUUUGAACGCAAGUUGCGCCCGAAGCCAUCAGGUUGAGGGCACGUCUGCCUGGGCGUCACAUAUCGUUGCCCAAUGCCUAUUGCAGUGCAAUAGGAAUUUCUAGGGCGAAUGAUGGCUUCCCGUGAUCGUUGUUGCCUCGCGGUUGGUUGAAAAUCGAGUCCUUGGUAGGGUGUGCCAUGGUAGAUGGUGGUCUAGUUAGAACGAUACCGAUCAUGUGCAUGCUCCCCAAAAUAUGGCCUCUAUGACCCACACGCGUCUUUUGACGCUCAUGACGAGACCUCAGGUCAGGCGGGGCUACCCGCUGAAUUUAAGCAUAUCAAUAAGCGGAGGA